CCUACGGGAGGCAGCAGUGGGGAAUAUUGCACAAUGGGGGGAACCCUGAUGCAGCGACGCCGCGUGAGUGAAGAAGUAUUUCGGUACGUAAAGCUCUAUCAGCAGGGAAGAAAAUGACGGUACCUGACUAAGAAGCCCCGGCUAACUACGUGCCAGCAGCCGCGGUAAUACGUAGGGGGCAAGCGUUAUCCGGAUUUACUGGGUGUAAAGGGGGCGUAGACGGCAGGGCAAGUCUGGAGUGAAAGCCCAUGGCCUAACCCUGGGACUGCUUUGGAAACUGUGCAGCUGGAGUGCAGGAGAGGUAAGCGGAAUUCCUAGUGUAGCGGUGAAAUGCGUAGAUAUUAGGAGGAACACCAGUGGCGAAGGCGGCUUACUGGACUGUAACUGACGUUGAGGCUCGAAAGCGUGGGGAGCAAACAGGAUUAGAUACCCGGGUAGUC
rnacentral:rRNA from 1 species